rnacentral:lncRNA from 1 species
AAGCCCAUUGAAAUCUCUGGUUCCAUAGGCAGCUCCCUGAUUGGCAUUGCUAUUCUGCUUGAGAAAACACUCAUUCUUUCUGUAGUGUCUGAAACGGAAUGAUUAUUGCAGCAUACUUGAGUUACUGCUGUAUUACAGUGCAGCAGCCCUUCUAGUAGAGCUAGAGUUAAGGAUCAAGGUUUGUCAACAUCUCUAUUCUAAUGCCUGUUCUUAGACAUCUAAAUUAUCAUCAAAAUGUGAUGUAAAUUAACUCAGGUUCAACCCGACUGCAGGGUGUUCUGGCUCAUGUACUGCAGAAGACACAAAUUUUGCUUUUUGAGUGACUGGCUUAUGAAUGACACAGCUUCAGUGAGCUUUAGCGAAAGGGUCCCAAGGUGGACCACAAGAUCUGGCCUUAUCUGAUACAACUUUAGCGAAGAUGAUUAAUGCUGGACAAUAAUGAAGACAAAAUUGGAUCUCAUUUACACAUGGCCUCUUGUAGAAGAAUUCAAAGGUUUAUCUUAAUUUAUUACUAAGGAAUGUAAGAAUCAUUCAUUUAAUUGUUUAUUAAUUGAUACCAAAUCCACCUCCUAAUGUAACCCAGCACCACAGCCAUCUUUCAGAGAAAACCUACUGUGUGAAAUAAUAGGAUAUUGUUUCCUGCUUGUUUUGUACAAGGGAACUAAGUUCUUACUCAAGGUUUGUUGUUCUGCAUGAAGCUGCAGUGGCCUAGUGUAUAGUGCCCUGUCCUGGAAGAAACAGACCUGAGUUCUGCGCACACAUCUGUCACUAACUUGCUAUGUGAACUUGGGCAGAUUCCUGUAUUUUGGUUUCCCCAUCCGUACAAUGGAUGUAUUGCUGCUUGCUUGGAGGAUGGAGUGUACAUUGCAGGUGGGAAAAGUUUGGAGAAGGACAUAGAAA